rnacentral:rRNA from 1 species
CCUACGGGAGGCAGCAGUGGGGAAUAUUGCACAAUGGGGGAAACCCUGAUGCAGCGACGCCGCGUGAGCGAUGAAGUAUUUCGGUAUGUAAACCUCUGUCAGGAGGGAAGAAAGCGCAUGGCGCCAAUCAGCCAUGCGUUGACGGUACCUCCGAAGGAAGCGCCGGCUAACUCCGUGCCAGCAGCCGCGGUAAUACGGAGGGCGCGAGCGUUAAUCGGAAUUACUGGGCGUAAAGCGCGCGUAGGCUGUUGUGUAAGUUGGGGGUGAAAUCCCACGGCUCAACCGUGGAACAGCCCUUGAUACUG